rnacentral:rRNA from 1 species
UACGUAGGGCCUAGCGUUGUCCGGAUUUAUUGGGCGUAAAGAGCUCGUAGGCGGUUCGUCGCGUCGGCUGUGAAAUCCCGAGGCUCAACCAUGGGCUUGCAGUCGAUACGGGCGGGCUAGAGUUCGGUAGGGGAGACUGGAAUUCCUGGUGUAGCGGUGAAAUGCGCAGAUAUCAGGAGGAACACCGGUGGCGAAGGCGGGUCUCUGGGCCGAUACUGACGCUGAGGAGCGAAAGCGUGGGGAGCGAACAGG